rnacentral:sRNA from 1 species
GAGGCUGGGAAGAUUGAAAGGGGCCAUGGAGAGGCUGCAGUCACAAUGAGGCCUCCAGAUUCAUGCCAUCAAAGUGCUUCAUGAUGACUGGAUUUUCACACCAUUUAUCCAAGGGCCCUAAUCAAUGGCAGCAGCAAGAAUGAAAGUAGACACAUUGGAAGCCAGAGAGUCACUGGGUGACUCCUGGAGCUACAUGCGAAGUUUACACAUCUUGUACAUUUCCAAAUUUAAUGAAAAAGGUGUUGAAAAGUCUCCUCUAGAGCUUUGGAAGGCUGAAUGCACUAAACAUGAAGAGCUUGAAAGCGAAGUUCAGGAAGAGUGACGAAUGGAUCAGAGGAGGAAUAUCAGAGCAAGAUUCCAUGGGAAAUCUGAGGCACAAGGUUAAAGAAAUUCUCCAGAAUUAUAUUUACACCUGGAAUUUAACUUCCCAGAGCACAGGGCUUUGUAGUUCUUGUUCACAGGCCUGUCCA